rnacentral:rRNA from 1 species
CAGUCGGACGGUAACGGGUAAGUACUUGUACUUAUGCUGACGAGUGGCGGACGGGUGAGUAAUGCUUGGGAAUCUGUCUUAUGGAGGGGGAUAACGACGGGAAACUGUCGCUAAUACCGCGUAGAGUCGGGAGACGAAAGUGCGGGACUUAAUGGCCGCAUGCCAUGAGAUGAGCCCAAGUGUGAUUAGGUAGUUGGUGGGGUAAAGGCCUACCAAGCCGACGAUCGCUAGCUGGUCUGAGAGGAUGGCCAGCCACACCGGGACUGAGACACGGCCCGGACUCCUACGGGAGGCAGCAGUGGGGAAUAUUGCGCAAUGGGGGCAACCCUGACGCAGCCAUGCCGCGUGAAUGAAGAAGGCCUUCGGGUUGUAAAGUUCUUUCGGUGGUGAGGAAGGGAUGUUGUUUAAUAGAUAACAUCAUUGACGUUAACUACAGAAGAAGCACCGGCUAACUCCGUGCCAGCAGCCGCGGUAAUACGGAGGGUGCGAGCGUUAAUCGGAAUAACUGGGCGUAAAGGGCACGCAGGCGGACCUUUAAGUGAGGUGUGAAAUCCCCGGGGCUUAACCUGGGAAUUGCAUUUCAUACUGGGGGUCUGGAGUACUUUAGGGAGGGGUAGAAUUCCACGUGUAGCGGUGAAAUGCGUAGAGAUGUGGAGGAAUACCGAAGGCGAAGGCAGCCCCUUGGGGAUGUACUGACGCUGAUGUGCGAAAGCGUGGGGAGCAAACAGGAUUAGAUACCCUGGUAGUCCACGCUGUAAACGGUGUCGAUUUGGGGAUUGGGGUUUAGCCUUGGUGCCCGAAGCUAACGUGAUAAAUCGACCGCCUGGGGAGUACGGCCGCAAGGUUAAAACUCAAAUGAAUUGACGGGGGCCCGCACAAGCGGUGGAGCAUGUGGUUUAAUUCGAUGCAACGCGAAGAACCUUACCUACUCUUGACAUCCAUGGAAUCCUGUAGAGAUACGGGAGUGCCUUUGGGAACCAUGAGACAGGUGCUGCAUGGCUGUCGUCAGCUCGUGUUGUGAAAUGUUGGGUUAAGUCCCGCAACGAGCGCAACCCUUAUCCUUUGUUGCCAGCGACUUGGUCGGGAACUCAAAGGAGACUGCCGGUGAUAAACCGGAGGAAGGUGGGGAUGACGUCAAGUCAUCAUGGCCCUUACGAGUAGGGCUACACACGUGCUACAAUGGCGUAUACAGAGGGUAACCAACCGGUGAUGGGGAGUGAAUCUCAAAAAGUACGU